rnacentral:rRNA from 1 species
AGUGAACGCUGGCGGUAGGCCUAACACAUGCAAGUCGAACGGCAGCACAGUAAGAGCUUGCUCUUACGGGUGGCGAGUGGCGGACGGGUGAGGAAUACAUCGGAAUCUACUUUUUCGUGGGGGAUAACGUAGGGAAACUUACGCUAAUACCGCAUACGACCUACGGGUGAAAGCAGGGGAUCUUCGGACCUUGCGCGAUUGAAUGAGCCGAUGUCGGAUUAGCUAGUUGGCGGGGUAAAGGCCCACCAAGGCGACGAUCCGUAGCUGGUCUGAGAGGAUGAUGAGCCACACUGGAACUGAGACACGGUCCAGACUCCUACGGGAGGCAGCAGUGGGGAAUAUUGGACAAUGGGCGCAAGCCUGAUCCAGCCAUACCGCGUGGGUGAAGAAGGCCUGCGGGUUGUAAAGCCCUUUUGUUGGGAAAGAAAAGCAGCAGGUUAAUACCCCGCUGUUCUGACGGUACCCAAAGAAUAAGCACCGGCUAACUUCGU